UCUGAUGAAAUCUAGAAAAACUUUAUUUUUACUGCCGCGUGUUUGGAAUAAAAAAUGAAGCAGGACCCAAUGAGGAGAACCGAGUCGUCUUACACGCCGGAAGGUUUCACAAGAUGAUCUUAAAGCUCGAUUUGGCUCCUGCAGACUUCGCCCUGUUCCCAAAGAUCCACCCAUUUUGACACCGUUGUGGCGAUCCAGUGCACAUUGCAGAAGAUGCUUUGGAAAGAAGAUUUCCAGGACACCUUCAGAAGUGGCAGGAUCGCUGUAUUGCUGUGCAAGGGGCUUAUUUUAAAGGUGAUGGUGUAUAAACAUAGAUGAAUAAAGUGCUUUCGUUAAUCAGA